AUUUUUGUUUGUUUUUCUUUC
rnacentral:snRNA from 1 species